UGCAAAUGCCAUGUUCAGACUUCUAUUGGUGAAUACGAGCGCCUUAAUUUUCACCACCAUGGAUAGCAACAUUUAAAUAACACCGGUUGGAAUUGUGCUGUCCACUCCAGCCUCCAGGAUUUUGCUUUUUCCACUUGGUCCUGCGGUUAUAAAACCAGAUUUUUACUUGGGUUUCCGUCAGGCUGAGAGACAGUGCGAGAAGAUUGAGCCUCUCACAGACGGACAGAUAGCGCGUGGUUUGAAACUUGUUUUCCAGAGCUACCAGCUGUUCGUGCGCGACUCGGUUUUGCACAGCCAUGUGCGGCGGCGUUUGAGUCGUCUUGUGUCAUUUGCGGCCAAGUGCUUUGUUUUAAAAGCGUUCAUCUUAACUUUAUGACUCAAAGUGAUCAAAUUCUAGUGUUGACUAUUGUGAGAGCAAAUGCAGGUUAACGAGAUGGUGCAUACCAUGGAUAUGCUCCUGGGCGAGUUCCACGAUUACCAGACUGCGUGGGAUAUCCCCUGAUGGAUGACGAGCUAUCCAGGAUGAAUAUAUACUGAAGACUCCGUUGCCAUGUCCCUGGCAUACGUAAUGAGGCGAGUAACUUGCCACGAGGGUGUCUGCCACUCGCCACACUGGAGCAUGUUUUGAAUACAAGGAUUGUUGGUGCAUAGGAUGUUCCUCUGGCUUUCUUGGCAUGUGCAGUAUAGAAGGCCUCAAGGAUGAAUAUCUACUGAACACUCCGUUGCCAUGGCCCUGGCAUGCGUAAUGAGGCGAGUAACUUGCCAUGAGGGUGUCUGCCACUCACCAAACUGGAGCACGUUUUGAAUACAAGGAUUGUUGGUGCAUAGGAUGUUCCUCUGGCUGUCUUGGCAUGUGCAGUAUAGCAGGCCUCAAGGUAUGGGACCUUUGAUGAUUUCCCUUCCGAGGCUGUGGGUUCAUUUCAAGUUACUGAAGCCACACCCCAACUGAAAUAAAUAUAUUUGGG
ensembl:lncRNA